GCUGUGGUCCAGACAGUCGCUUGCCGGAAACGGCGAGAGGAAAGUCCGGGCUCCGUAGAGCAGGAGGGUUGCUAACGGCAACCGGGCGGGCUUCAAGACCCGUCCAGGGAAAGUGGCACAGAGAACAGACCGCCUGCCUUGUGCAGCGGGGCGCGACGAGGGCCCGAAACUCGCGCGUUCGGCCGCGGCUCGAAAGAGCGCAGGUAAGGGUGAAAAGGUGGGGUAAGAGCCCACCGCGCUCCUGGAGACAGGUGCGGCACGCCAAACCCCCUCCGGAGCAAGGCCAAAUAGGGACCAAGGGACUGCUCAUCCCGCUGCGAAUGUGUCGCGAGAGGUCCGGGUAGGCUGCUGGAGCUGCGGGGCAACCCGCCGCCUAGACGAAUGACUGUCCGCCUGAAAGGGCGAACAAAACCCGGCUUACAGGAUCACAAAGACG
rnacentral:RNase_P_RNA from 1 species